rnacentral:tRNA from 1 species
AGUGUGUUGGCAGAAUAGUGCAACUGACUUAGGAUCAGUUCAAGGAGUACAUACCACACACCA